rnacentral:misc_RNA from 1 species
UUAAGUUCAGCGGGUAUGCCUACCUGAUCCGAGGUCAACCAAGAGUUCACACCAGAUGGGGGAGGAGUCCUGGUGGGUAGGGCAUGGCCUAGCUGCUGACUGCUCUACGUCUUCACGACACUUACUAAGUCACUCGCUGAGGCCCACUUGUCCUGCUUAUGCAUUUCAGCGGAGCAGCACCGCAGCCCAGAGGGGCACAG